rfam:Brachypodium distachyon strain Bd21 chromosome 2, whole genome shotgun sequence.
GAGCUACUCCCUCCGUCCCUUAUUAAGUGACGAAAUAUUACAUGUAUUUAAACUUUUUUUGGGUACAGAUACAUGCACAUUUGGUCAAAUUUGAGUCACUUAAUAUGAGACGGAGGAAGUAGUUA